rnacentral:rRNA from 1 species
GCCUCAGUAACGGCGAGUGAAGCGGCAACAGCUCAAAUUUGAAAUCUGGCCCUUUCAGGGUCCGAGUUGUAAUUUGCAGAGGGUGCUUUGGCGUCGGCCGUGGUCUAAGUUCCUUGGAACAGGACGUCACAGAGGGUGAGAAUCCCGUACGUGGCCGCCGGUCUUCGCCGUGUAAAGCCCCUUCGACGAGUCGAGUUGUUUGGGAAUGCAGCUCUAAAUGGGAGAUACAUUUCUUCUAAAGCUAAAUAUUGGCCAGAGACCGAUAGCGCACAAGUAGAGUGAUCGAAAGAUGAAAAGCACUUUGGAAAGAGAGUCAAAAAGCACGUGAAAUUGUUGAAAGGGAAGCGCUUGCAGCCAGACGUGCCCGCAGUUGCUCACCCAGGCUCUUGCCUGGGGCACUCUUCUGCGGGCAGGCCAGCAUCAGUUCGGGCGGUUGGAUAAAGGUCUCUAUCACGUACCACCCUUCGGGGUGUCCUUAUAGGGGAGACGCAACACGGCCAGCCUGAACUGAGGACCGCGCAUCAGCUAGGAUGCUGGCGUAAUGGCUGUAAGCGGCCCGUCUUGAAACACGGACCAAGGAGUCUAACAUCUAUGCGAGUGUUUGGGUGUAAAGCCCGGGCGCGCAAUGAAAGUGAACGGAGGUGGGAACCCUUUGGGUGCACCAUCGACCGAUCCUGAAGUCUUCGGAUGGAUUUGAGUAAGAGCAUAGCUGUUGGGACCCGAAAGAUGGUGAACUAUGCCUGAAUAGGGUGAAGCCAGGGGAAACCCUGGUGGAGGCUCGCAGCGGUUCUGACGUGCAAAUCGAUCGUC